AUUCCAGUCACGCAAUGGAUAGCGUGUUGAACUUCUAAUCCAAAGGUCCUGUGUUCGAAUGCUACCAGGAAUG